rnacentral:tRNA from 2 species
AGAGGGAUAAAGGACAAAAACAGGGAUUCCCUCGGAUUUGACUCUGGAUCAGCCGAUCGGGGUUCGAAUCCCUGUCCCUCAGCCA